AACGAACGCUGGCGGCAGGCUUAACACAUGCAAGUCGAACGCGUGUAGCAAUACACGAGUGGCGCACGGGUGAGUAACGCGUGGAUAUCUGCCUUUUGGUUCGGAAUAACUCCGGGAAACUGGAACUAAUACCGGAUGGUUCCUACGGGAUAAAGAUUUAUCGCCAAAAGAUGAGUCCGCGUACGAUUAGCUAGUUGGUGAGGUAAUGGCUCACCAAGGCGACGAUCGUUAGCUGGUCUGAGAGGACGAUCAGCCACACUGGGACUGAGACACGGCCCAGACUCCUACGGGAGGCAGCAGUGGGGAAUAUUGGACAAUGGGGGCAACCCUGAUCCAGCCAUGCCGCGUGAGUGAUGAAGGCCUUCGGGUUGUAAAGCUCUUUUGGCGGGGACGAUGAUGACGGUACCCGCAGAAUAAGCCCCGGCUAACUUCGUGCCAGCAGCCGCCGUAA
rnacentral:rRNA from 1 species